rnacentral:rRNA from 1 species
GAUGAACGCUGGCGGCGUGCCUAAUACAUGCAAGUCGAGCGAAUGGAUUAGGAGCUUGCUCUUAUGAAGUUAGCGGCGGACGGGUGAGUAACACGUGGGUAACCUGCCCAUAAGACUGGGAUAACUCCGGGACACCGGGGCUAAUACCGGAUAACAUUUUGAACCGCAUGGUUCGAAAUUGACAGGCGGCUUCGGCUGUCACUAAUGGAUGGACCCGCGUCGCAUUAGCUAGUUGGUGAGGUAACGGCUCACGAAGGCAACGAUGCGGAGCCGUCCUGAGAGGGUGAUCGGCCACACUGGGACUGAGACACGGCCCAGACUCCUACGGGAGGCAGCAGUAGGGAAUCUUCCGCAAUGGACGAAAGUCUGACGGAGCAACGCCGCGUGAGUGAUGAAGGCUUUCGGGUCGUAAAACUCUGUUGUUAGGGAAGAACAAGUGCUAGUUGAAUAAGCUGGCACCUUGACGGUACCUAACCAGAAAGCCACGGCUAACUACGUGCCAGCCGCCGCGGUAA